GAGGGUCAGAGAUUGCUACCAUGCCUUCUUUGAGUGGAAGAGAGGCUAUGAGAGAGUAAGGAAGUGAGCUGGGAGUGUGAUGCUUGAGGAGAGAUUCAGAGAUCGAGUUCUUAAGGGUGAGUGGUGAGGGAUGAUAAGUGUCAUGUUUAUUUUGAGAGGAUGAUAAGCUGUGUUUUCAAUAUGAGAGGAGAAAGAAUAUUCUGCCCUUGUCAUGGUGAGAGUGAAAAUAUCCCACGAUG
rnacentral:lncRNA from 1 species